GGAACCAUUUCAUCGUGUUCGGGUGACCUCGGUGUUCCAUUUUCCUAAUCUCAUCAACUCGUCAUACUUGGAUAAUCGGAAGACUUGGCAAUUACGUUGUUAGACAAGACGAUGAAGAAAUCAAGUUAGGAUGGACUUAGAUACUCAUUCAAUAAUAAACAAUGUUGUUGCAAUUUGUCUUUAUUUGAAACAAUGUAUUCAAAUUUUAGUCAUUAAUGAAAUUGGAUUUAAAUUAUA